CAGUAGCCGCGGUAAUACGUAGGUGGCAAGCGUUGUCCGGAAUUAUUGGGCGUAAAGGGCUCGCAGGCGGUUUCUUAAGUCUGAUGUGAAAGCCCCCGGCUCAACCGGGGAGGGUCAUUGGAAACUGGGAAACUUGAGUGCAGAAGAGGAGAGUGGAAUUCCACGUGUAGCGGCGAAAUGCGUAGAGAUGUGGAGGAACACCAGUGGCGAAGGCGACUCUCUGGUCUGUAAUUGACGCUGAGGAGCGAAAGCGUGGGGAGCGAACAGGAUUAGAUACCCGCGUAGUCCCUGUCUCUUAUAC
rnacentral:rRNA from 1 species